AGCCAGCACACAACAGCAGAGGGCACAAGAGCACCUUACUCGGUGUAACCAGUGUGAGCGCACGGCCUGUCCCAUAAGGGUUCACUUGCAACAACAGGUCCCAGCCUUUCCAAUCCUAUUCCUGCUCCAGGACUCUCAGGUUUUAUUUCCAGGCUCGUAACUUCCCCCUAAAGGACUGGUGGAAAAUACAAUUAGAAACCAGCGAGACGAAGGUCGUGGCUGUGCCCUGCCUGGAAUGCUGAGGCGCUGAGAGAUGGGGGAGGAGAGAGAAGCAGAGAGCGCCAGAGCAGCGCACUCAGCCACACAGAGCUGGGUGUUCAUUUAACAGGACAUGGCGAGCAAAGUAACCCCAGUUCAGCUCCUGAUCCCAGAGCAGGAGGGACCAUGCAAGAUUCAGGUCCCCACAUAGAUACAGACCAAGCCCCCUGUCUGGGAUAAACUUCUCCACAUAUGCUGGGCUGCUGUCAUUCUCCCACCAGAAGGCAGGUUUUCCUGGCCUCCAUCAUUCUUGUUCCUUGUCUCUGAAUCCUCCUGGGAGCUUCCUGUAACUGGGCAGGCCAGGGAGGGCCGAGAGUUCAGUCCAGCCACGCAGGCCUGUCCCUAGCCCGGCCGGCUGGGGCCAGUGGGUGGGGCUGUGCUAGCGCCCAUGUUGUUCUUUCAUUAAAAACCACCAGAUGGAUAAA